rnacentral:rRNA from 1 species
CCUACGGGGUGCAGCAGUGGGGAAUAUUGGACAAUGGGCGAAAGCCUGAUCCAGCCAUGCCGCGUGUGUGAAGAAGGCCUUCGGGUUGUAAAGCACUUUCAGUGGGGAAGAACGCCUUGGGGCUAAUACCCUCGAGGAAGGACAUCACCCACAGAAGAAGCACCGGCUAACUCCGUGCCAGCAGCCGCGGUAAUACGGAGGGUGCGAGCGUUAAUCGGAAUUACUGGGCGUAAAGCGCGCGUAGGCGGUCUGAUAAGCCGGUUGUGAAAGCCCCGGGCUCAACCUGGGAACGGCAUCCGGAACUGUCAGGCUAGAGUGCAGGAGAGGAAGGUAGAAUUCCCGGUGUAGCGGUGAAAUGCGUAGAGAUCGGGAGGAAUACCAGUGGCGAAGGCGGCCUUCUGGACUGACACUGACGCUGAGGUGCGAAAGCGUGGGUAGCAAACAGGAUUAGAUACCCCGGUAGUC